ACUCCUACGGGAGGCAGCAGUGAGGAAUCUUGCGCAAUGGAGGAAACUCUGACGCAGCCACGCCGCGUGCUGGAAGACGGCCCUAUGGGUUGUAAACAGCUUUUGAUAGGGAAGAACCUGGACCUUUCGAGGACCACUGACGGUACCUAUCGAAUAAGCACCGGCUAACUCCGUGCCAGCAGCCGCGGUAAUACGGAGGGUGCAAGCGUUGUCCGGAAUCAUUGGGUGUAAAGGGUGCGUAGGCGGAAGCCUAAGUCGGAGGUGAAAUCUUGCCGCUCAACGGUAAAAUGGCCUUCGAUACUGGGUUUCUUGAGUCCAGAAGAGGUUGGUGGAAUUCGUGGUGUAGCGGUGAAAUGCAUAGAUAUCACGAAGAACACCGGUGGCGAAGGCGGCCAACUGGUCUGGUACUGACGCUGAGGCACGAGAGCGUGGGGAGCGAACAGGAUUAGAUACCCUGGUAGGAUAGCGU
rnacentral:rRNA from 1 species